UAAAGAAUUAUCGCUGAUAGAUGGGCAUGCGUUCCAUUAGAUAGUUGGUGAGGUAACGGCUCACCAAGUCCACGAUGGAUAGGGGUUCUGAGAGGAAGGUCCCCCACACUGGUACUGAGACACGGACCAGACUCCUACGGGAGGCAGCAGCGAGGAAUAUUGGUCAAUGGGCGAGAGCCUGAACCAGCCAAGUCGCGUGAAGGAUGAAGGAUCUAUGGUUUGUAAACUUCUUUUAUAUGGGAAUAAAGUGAGGAACGUGUUCCUUUUUGUAUGUACCAUAUGAAUAAGCAUCGGCUAGCUCCGUGCCAGCAGCCGCGGUAAUACGGAGGAUGCGAGCGUUAUCCGGAUUUAUUGGGUUUAAAGGGUGCGUAGGUGGUUAAUUAAGUCAGCGGUGAAAGUUUGUGGCUCAACCAUAAAAUUGCCGUUGAAACUGGUUGACUUGAGUAUAUUUGAGGUAGGCGGAAUGCGUGGUGUAGCGGUGAAAUGCAUAGAUAUCACGCAGAACUCCGAUUGCGAAGGCAGCUUACUAAACUAUAACUGACACUGAAGCACGAAAGCGUGGGGAUCAAACAGGAUUAGAUACCCUGGUAGUCCACGCAGUAAACGAUGAUUACUAGCUGUUUGCGAUACACAGUAA
rnacentral:rRNA from 1 species